GCUGCCGCUGCCGCCCAGGCUGGAAGCCCAGACACGGAAUCCCGAAUAACCAAAAGGACACUGUCUGUGAAGACGCUUUCCCGAUUCUUCGACAAAGUCCAGGACCUGGGCAGAGACUCCAAGACAAGCUCAGCCGAGGUCACCAUCCAGGUAAGGGCAGGAUGCUGGGGGACCCCAGGACAGUGUAGAAUCAGCUAGCGGAGGCUUCCAUGUGGCCAGAGAGAGUGCCCAACCCAAGCAGGGGCCUCUAGUCAGAGACACACAUGCGCAUAACAUACACACACCAC
rnacentral:lncRNA from 10 species